GUAUCUGAGGAAGACCAGAUACUUCACAUUCUCACUGGUCUAGGACAUGAGUAUGAUCCUGUGGUGGUGUCAAUUUCAACAAGAGUCGAUCCGUGGACUGUGCAAGAUGUUACAUCAACACUGCUGAGUUUUGAAU